rnacentral:rRNA from 1 species
UACAGAGGUCCCAAGCGUUGUUCGGAUUCAUUGGGCGUAAAGGGUGCGUAGGCGGCGCGGUAAGUCGGGUGUGAAAUCUCGGAGCUUAACUCCGAAACUGCAUUCGAUACUGCCGUGCUUGAGGACUGGAGAGGAGACUGGAAUUUACGGUGUAGCGGUGAAAUGCGUAGAUAUCGUAAGGAAGACCAGUGGCGAAGGCGGGUCUCUGGACAGCUCCUGACGCUGAGGCACGAAGGCCAGGGAGCAAACGGG